ensembl:lncRNA
UUUUUUUUUCUCAGAUCUGAAAAUGUCUUUAUUUUUUAGAAAAUGGAUUCCGGGAAGGUUAAAAAGCAAUACCAGAGGGCAUAGGUGCAGAACUGGAUGUAUGUAGUCAUUCAAAGCAUCCAAGUAAGAAUAUGGCAAUAUAAAUAUCCAAAAAGCAUCUCUUAGGUCUUCAAAACAAAAUGUUUAAGUAAUUCCUAACUAGUGAGCAGUACAGCAUUUCCUAGACGGGAGAAACAGUUAACAGUAAAGUCUUGAAAGCCUUUUCCUUGGUUAAUUACAUGUAGACAGUUUGGCUUUGAUCAAACUCCUUUAAACAUGGAUAACGGCAUUACACAGGUCCACUGUUAAAACAGACAUGUUGCAAAUUACUUGUGGUAUAAUGUGUUCCAACAAAGCUUAGAAAAUAAAGACGUUGAGUUGGCUUUGGACUAAGUUUUAAUAGUCAUCUCCUCUGCUGACAACUUCUUUACAGGUUGGGCGCAGCAGUAUGGUAUGUUCAAACUGUGCUGUGUAUGAUCCUUUAAUGUCACAGAGUGGUGGAUAUGGAUCUACAAUGCCCAAGUCACACAGGUUCUUCAGAGCCAUUAAGUAUUUACUUUCUCCCAAGCGAUCCAGCCACCUUCGGCAGAAGGCAAGGGUAUCAAAGUUUUCAUUGAUGACAUUCAACAAGUGUUUUGUUCUUGGAAGCCUUAUUGGCACGUGUUCCACAUCAAAAUUUUUCAUGUAGUGUGAACAUUCCAUAUCGUCAUGAACCACGCCCUUCCCUGUGCUACCAAAGGUCUCAAUGGCAUACACCUCUCCUUCCUCCAUUCUUGUAGCUUCCCCUCCUUUCACAAUGGGCACUGUUUUUCCAGCAUGAAUUCUAUAUGGCCCAAUUGAAUGUCCAUUUAAGUUACGUAUGGGUUUCACUUGGUAGGUCUUCCCAUCUAUUUCCACUUCAUAGGACUCCAUAACUUCUUGAAUGGCCUCGCCGACAUCACAGAGACGGACGUCAAUCCCCGCACACUUUAUUCCAGUAUUGGUGGCAUCUUUUACAGCUUUUAAUAAUAUGUCAUAUUUGGGAUUAAAAGUAACAGUAAAAGCACAAUCAAUUAUUCUACCACUUAUAUGCGUUCCAAAGUCGAUCUUACAGAUGUCGUCGUACUGUAAGACUGUCGUGUCACCAGCAUUGGGAGUGUAAUGUGCAGCACAGUUGUUGAGAGAACACCCAGUAGGAAAGGCCAGGCCUGCAUUUAACCCAUUCUCCUUUAUGGGCUUUCGGGAACAUCGUUCCAAAUCUCCUCACUAGCCUGGUCUAGCGCCUUUUUCUCUUCACUUGUGGUUCUCCAAGCAGCUGUCCGCCCAUCUUGGGUGGGUGGGUAUUCACACUCUUGUCCUUUGGGAAAUACACCAUUAGGAUACAGGUCACAUAUUGGAACUGAGGGAGGGUCUGUUUGAACUCUUGGUCCUCUCUUCUUCUUCUUUUUCUUCUUCUUCCCAGCUGCACCAUCACCAUCACCAUCUCCAUCUUCAUCGUCAUCAUCUUUCUCUUUCUCCUCCAGUGCUUGUCUCUCCAACUGUUUUGCUACUUCGUCCACUGAGGUUCCCGAUUCUUUAUCAAGUUCUUGUUGCCCUGCUGACACAGCCCCUUUGCCCUUCUUCUUCUUUCGUCUUUUCUUCUUGGCGGCUUCCUCGGCCGUGCUGGAGGUUCCCUCUUCCCUGUCGUCUGGAUCCAGGUCGCCAUUCAGGUGGCCCCCGAAAGACGAUGCCUCUUCCACGCCCGCCAUGUUGC